CAUGUUCUAAUCUGACUGUAAAGCCAGGCCAGACCUGUGAAAACCUCUUUCAGGGGUGCCACUGUGCUUCAGAAAAUACUCUGUUUCUCUAGAAAACAGUAAUGUAUUGAGUUAAACCAAACGAACAAAAAAACAAAACCCCGAAACCUGCAACAAACAAACAACUCUUCAGGUUAUUUUUCAGAUAGGCAACACUUAAAACUUUGCAUGUAUUUGCUGCUUUUGCAAACUGUUUUGAAGAUACAAAUUCAUUGUUCUUUUUUCCUUCUUGCAGUUAACAAAAUCUUUCUUGCCAUGUUUGCUUUAAAAUGAAGUCACUGUCAUUCUGUUACUGUUCUGAAACUAAACCGCAAAUCCUGGGAAUGACGGUUGUGUAAUGCAGGUGCUGCUUUGCUUUUGACUAAAGGCUUAUUUUUAUUCUGAAGAGUUUUAGGAAGUUUAGGGAAAAUAUGGAAUACUUCAGGAAAAAAGGUGGUAGGUGAGGAAGGUUUUCAUAUGUUUGAAUGUCAUAUUCUAAUUCUAGACUGGUGCAGCUCAACAGUGUCUUGUACAAUUGGUGCCAAAUUCUGGUGUUGGUUGCAGUGACUGAAUAGUCACAGCUCAGAUAUUCAUCCCAAAUUCUCAGUGGCUCUCUGCUGAAUUGUUCUAAAGUAUCCUGAACCAGUCUUACACAUUUCAGGAUUGGGGGAUUAUAUUUCCUUUCACCUGAAAGUAUUACUCUCUACUUCUGAGCCAGUCAGUUAAAUCUAACGAUUUUGCAAGACAGUUGAUUUUGGCAAUACCCUGUGUGCCAAAGAGUGCCUGCUGUGACUGCCUGCAGUCAGAUCCAUGUGGAGCAGCCCUCUGACCCCCCAAGGAUGGGCAGAGUGACAGUCAAACACACUUUCCAGGAGGUGAUGGGAGUAAGCAGGGUCUGAGAAAACUUUCCAGAGAAGGACUUGAGCUCCAUGAGAGCUUGUGAACCCUUCCCUCUAAUUAAUUUUCUUUAUAUGCCUUGCUUUGCUUUAUGGUGAGAGCUGUGGUGGAGAACCUUGGGUGACUUUCACCACCGUGGAUCCUGAAGCCUCAUGGCUUGGUUGCUGUUCCAGGUCUCCUGAAAGGACUUAAGAGGCCGCUGCACAGGAUCUGCAUAUUCAUUGUUCCCAUUCAUCAAGGAACUCAGACCUCCCAUCCCUCCUGGGGAGAAGGAUGAAGCACGGAAAUUGUUCAAAGCUGAUUUUUUUAUUCUGGAAACAUACACCUACUUCUUUCUCACUGAAACUGAUAAUGCUAAAAUACAGUUAAAAUUCUUUUCUGAAUAAAGAUAUUUCCCUGGA